AGCGUGGAUCUCAGCCUAAAUCAUUUUUAUUGGUAGAUUUAGAAUAUCAACCCAUAUCUAAUAGUCAAGAUAAGGAUAUACAUCAAUAUCUUAUAAUAUGAAACUUAUCAUUAUCUUAUGUUUUUUUUGUAACAGAAACUUAUCAUUAUCUAUAUGUAAUAUUUUGUAUUUCAUAACUAAUAUAGAAUAUUACAUUAUAGAUAAUGAUGAGUUUUCUAAGAUAUUGAUAUAUAUCCUUAAACUUAACUAUUAGAUAUGAGUUGAUCUUCUUGAUCUCCUAAUAGUUUUCAUCUUUGGCCAAGAAAAUAAUUUUUCUUUAACAUAUGAUUGUGUAUUCUACAUAUAAGAAUCAUACUGUAUGGAAAACUAAAAAAAAAUACCAUAAAAGAUUAAGAAAUUUCCAUAACUGGCAAUAGAGAUAAAGGGAAGUGAAAGCAUUUAUCUUUAUAAAAGUAGAAAGGAAAGACUAUAUUCCUCUUCAUCUUUGACCAUAAAAAAUACCUUUCUUUUGCAUAUGUUUGUGUAUUAUAUAUGUAACCAGACCAAAGAAAGAAAAACUCAUAACAUUUCGUAAGAGAAUACCUUAUACAAUAUAUCCUAAAUAGUGACUAUUACUAUGAAAACUUUAAUUGCAUUUGUUUUUACCGUCCUUUUUAUCAUAUCUGAUGCUCAUCGUUAUAUUCCACCUGUUCAUGCUCCGGGUGAUGGAAUAAAGCAGACGGACAUAGUAUGCUUCCCCCCAGAUCCGUGCAGACACAAUUGGAACGUAGGUUGCACUAGCUAUUGUCAUGACUGGGGUUAUUAUAUAGGUGCAUGUACUAACAACGAAUGUUGUUGUGAAAGAUAAAUAUGCAUCCAAGAUGAAAUAAUCUAAUCAAAUGCAUUUGUAUCUCUUUUCAAAACAUAAUAUUAAAUACUUUUUCAUGUGUU